GAUGAACGCUGGCGGCGUGCCUAAUACAUGCAAGUCGAGCGAACAGACGAUGCUCUUGCUCCACUCACGUUAGCAACGGACGGGUGACUAAUACGUGGUUAACCCUGCUAUACGGCUUGAAUAACUUCGAGUAACCCGAGUUCCUGCCGGGUACUAUUUUUAACCUGAUGGUUCAAUAGUGUAAGCGGUGUUUGCUGACCUUUCUACCUGUAUCCGCGUCGCAUUAGCUAGUUGGUAAGGUAACGGCUUCCCAAGGCCACGAUGCGUAGCCGACCUGAGAGGGUGAUCGGCCACACUGGGACUGAGACACGGUACAGACUCCUACGGGAGGCAGCGGUAGGGAAUGUUGCGAAAUGGGCGAAAGACUGACGGAGGAACGCAGGGUGGGUGAUGAAGGGCUGCGGAUCGUAAAACGCUGUUAGUAGGGAAGAACAAAUGUGUAAGUAACGAUGCUCGUCGUGACGGUACCUAAACAGAAAGCCACGGCUAACUACGUG
rnacentral:rRNA from 1 species